AUACGGAGGGUGCAAGCGUUGUCCGGAUUUAUUGGGUUUAAAGGGUGCGUAGGCGGGUUAUUAAGUCAGUGGUGAAAGUCUGCGGCUCAACCGUAGGAGUGCCAUUGAAACUGGUAAUCUUGAGUACCGUUGAGGUAUGCGGAAUUUAUGGUGUAGCGGUGAAAUGCAUAGAUACCAUAAAGAACACCGAUAGCGAAGGCAGCAUACUAACCGGUAACUGACGCUGAGGCACGAAAGCAUGGGGAGCGAACAGGAUUAGAUACCCCGGUAGUCC
rnacentral:rRNA from 1 species